AACCGGCGUACAACAAUGGGGACGUGUCCCCAAGGUGGUGCCGGGGGAAGCAAGCCACAGCAACAGCACUUUAAUGGUGGAAAGCUGAAAAAUCACGCGUCGGGUGGAGUUUGGUAGGUCACUUGUGAUUCGAAGAAGUCGGACCCG
rnacentral:sRNA from 12 species